AACUCGGCACCAGUCAACCCCUAUUAUGGGAUUUUCGGUCUCAGUUCAUGCGUAAAGAUAAAAAACUUACGAUUUCCACCACCAGGUGAAUCCACGGUAUGUUGGCAGUAAACAGUUGCAUGUGUCAUACGCUGCUUGUGCUGAUGUGGUCUUGUUGUUAGGGAUUAAAAAUGUGUUCAAAAGGGGGAUAAUAAAUGUUCAGUGCGUUCCAUUUUAAACAUUCUUUUGGCUACUGGUUAAUGCACUGAAAUUUGCCAUUUUUCGUACCAACCUGAGGGACAAUUUUUCACAACUACACGAUUGUUUGAAAGUUAAUUUUUCACUAAACGUCAUUUGAAUGCGCAGUUCCUAUCCGCAGCUCCCAGUCCUACAGUGUGCAAAAAUAGACAGUUGAAAAAGUCUGCUCAUUGUGCUAAUCUGCGCAAUGUGGACUUUCUUUAGAUGACUCUUGUAUUGUAAAUAUUUUCCUGCUUCUUGGAACAAGCGUCAUUCCAAAGAUUGUAAAAAGAUGUUAAGCAGGAGAAAUCUAAAGUUGGAGGACAAUGCAUUUGUUUCCCGUUACUAGUUUUGUUAAACAAAUGAUUGAUUCCAAAUCUUCAGCUUCCCAGGCAGACACCAUCCACAAAGCCGAGGGUGACAUGAUAUUCACAGUGGGCAUGACUGUGUUGUAAAGGGGUAUCACUUUUACAAAGCCAAACAGAUUUAGAUCACGGGUCUACUGUGAAAGAGAUCAUGUGUCCUCAGCUUGUCAUUCUGAUGCAGAACUCUUGAAAUCAAGUUGAACAUUUUGAACCAUAUCAGGACAAAGCUGAAGUUCUAGAGGUAUUAAGAAAGUAGCCGCUUUUUGGUUAGUUUCUAUGCCAUCAGAGAUGCAUCAAUCAGAAUGGUGUUCACUUCCUCGACGUCAUUGAUCACAAAUCUUUGAUGCAUUGUUCUUAUCUCGUAGUUAUAUCGAUUCGUAAAGGCAAAUCGGAAAAUGGUAUUCUUUUCCUUGACAUAAAGAACUGAAAUUUUAUGCAUUAGCAAGUCAUCCGCAUCCAAACAAAUCAAACGCUUAAGAUACGCCUUGUCCGGCAACUUACGAUCCAGCAUCGCAUCCAUCAGCAGAAUGUAUUAACGAGGGAAGUAAUGACCAAAUGCCGACUGUACGAUUUCCAUGCAAGAUGAAUGCAAGAUAAAAUUCAAGGAGAUCUGGAGAACCAUUAGCUGAAUACAAUGAAUACUAUCUUCAGAACAAAAGGUUAAUAAUCAUACUGAAUCAAAAGAGGUACAUACUUGAACAAGAUUUUAAAACGAUAACAGCUGGAAAGGCAUGAAGAAAUUUCAAAGGACGCUACCCGCACGUUACCUUUAGUCGCUGAUUCAUCUAGAAGAUAAAACAUAAACAUUUUUAUAAAUUGAAGUGCAUAUCUGGGCUCCACUAUGCCUGAGAAAUGAACAUCACCAUACUGUUCAGAGUCUUCGUCUACUAUGUGUUGCUAACCAUCAGCCUUCAUCAUCCCAUGUAUCCUGAUUUUAAAGCUUCUCUGCUCAGCCAGCCAUCCUCCAUACACUUCAACUCUUCAUUGUGGCUUCUCUUCCUCUCUUCUUAGCCUGCCAAAUGCAAACAGGAAUAAAGGUUCAUCUCCAUUGUCAUACCAUGGUGUUUUCAUUUGAUGGGUUAUCUGGAUUUCUCAUUUAUACAUCUAAUGUCAUUGUUAAUCCUGCUGCCAAAUCGUCUUCCCGUACGAGUCAUGCAGUUUUAGAUUCCUCAUGGAAUUUCCCUGCAACAUCCACCCAGGUUGAAAAGGGCAUCCUACCAGUUGUGUGGACCAAACCUGCCUCACCGUCUUCGCCUCGCCGUCUUCGCCUCGCCGUCUUCGCCUCGCCGUCUUCCCCUCGCCAUCUUCGCCUCGCCGUCUUCCCCUCGCCAUCUUCCCCUCGCCGUCUUCGCCUCUCCGUCUUCGCCACGCCAUCCUCGCAGCGCCAUCCUCGCCUCGCCAUCCUCGCCUUACCGUCUUUGCUCGUGCCCGGCUUCUCCUCAUCGCCGUCAUCGUGGAACGUCGCGUUUUUGGUAUUUUGUUUUGUUGGUUUUUUUUUUUUUGUUUUGUAUUGUUGUGUGUUUAAAGUUAACCCGUUGGCUGCCACCCAUUUUGCUCCCCUUUUUUUUUUAGUUGUAGGGACCGGCGGCGCUGUUCUGCCCCAUGGUUGAUCACCCAUGGGGUGGGGCAGUCGCCUUGCGCCUUAGGGCGCCGUAGGCAAUGCACCAGUAGGGACUUCCCCUUGUCGAUGCGAUGGUGGAGUACCUGGGGUGUGCAUUCCCGCAAAGGUCUCCAUCAUCAAGUCAGCCCGGACUUGUCCUCGGACAAGUCCCCCUUUCAUCGGAUCCCUCUGAAACGAUGCGUAGCGAAUGUAGAAAAACAACCUACGGGUUGUAAUGGCUUGGCAGCCAACGGGUUAACUUAAGUGUUUGUUUUUGUAUGCAUGUAUGUAUUGUAUAUAUUGUAUAACAUGUGAUGUAAAACUGUGGUGGAAUUGUGGGUGGAGGUGGGAUAAUACAAAACCAAUUCCAUUUA
rnacentral:lncRNA from 1 species